UGAUAAUGGUCCUAAACAAUACAGUCCAGAUCCUCUGCUGGGGUGGAUGAGUAUGCACCCACCGAAAUGCAGGAUCAAGUGUGGGUCCUGGUUUUAAGGCGAUACUCUGCUCAAGCCAGCUGUGGACCUGGGGAAGCUCAUCUGGAAUUCCCUGCAUUGGGAUAUUGGCCUCCUUGGGAAUGAAUGUACUCUUGUAACAUCCUCGGGCGUGGAAGUACCAGAGCAAAAGCAAAGAGUCAGUAGAGUUUGGAGACCUCAGUGAUGCUUUCUGCCAGGGAAUGAUUACUAUGGUGAAGGAUACAAAGUGGAAAGAAAGAGAGAGAGAAAAAAAAAGAAGGAAGAAGCCAACUCCUAAACCCCUGGAAAUCUGUGUUAAUUGCUUAUGAAUGUCUCUGUCUAAAAAAAAUUAUUGAAUUGAUGUCGUCGUGGGUUUUUUGACAGCCUGUCUGUUACAUUUUUUUUAAAUAUUCAUGCACCAAAAUCUAAUUACUAGGCAAAUUUAAUGAUAAUGAAAUGAAGGCACUUUAGCGGAAAGCACAGGGC